rnacentral:lncRNA from 1 species
CAGAGACAGAACAAGCUGCUACCGCAGUAAGAUCUUGGCCAGGCGGGGGGAAAUGCAGACAAAAUCAAACAAAAUGCAAUCGGCUAGGAAAACUUGGGGAACUUUUGCCCCGAAAAUGGGCAGCGGACUCCAUGUUGUUUGCAUCACCAUGGUAACCAUGGGGUGCCUGGCCGGAAGAGCAGGCUUCCUGGUCCCACCUCCCACACUUUCGUGGGCUUCCGAUUGGUUCUUCCACAGUCACUCAGACAGGACUUCUAGUCCCGCCUUCCAGCCACUAAUCUGUACUACUGUGUUUCAGAUUUCUACUGGAGAUGUUCAGAGCCUGUAUUUUUAAGAAUGCC